CCAAGGAGUCUAACAUGUGCGCGAGUCAUUGGGACUUGUUAAGCCUAAAGGCGCAAUGAAAGUGAAGGUCGGCCUUAGCGUCGACCUAGGGAGGAUGGUUCGCGUCACGAUGCGAGCUCGCACUCCCGGGGCGUCUCGUGCUCAUUUCGAGCAGAGGCGCACCUAGAGCGUACACGUUGGGACCCGAAAGAUGGUGAACUAUGCCUGGUCAGGACGAAGUCAGGGGAAACCCUGAUGGAGGUCCGUAGCGAUUCUGACGUGCAAAUCGAUCGUCGGAACUGGGUAUAGGGGCGAAAGACUAAUCGAACCAUC
rnacentral:rRNA from 4 species